CAAAAAGAGCGCGUAUUUUAUGUUUUGCUUUGCCUGACUGGUAAAAUGGCGGAUGUAAUGUCGUUAAAAAGGAUAAAAAGUGGGACUUUUCCUGAAAACAUGAAGUCAUAAUGAAUGGAUGAGCGAUCUUUUAUCUUUAUUGGGACUUCUAAAGAAUAAGGAGACCUCGACGCUGAAACCACGAAGAUUUAUGUCCAGGAGAGACAAUCGACUUCAUUACAGGUUGAGGAGUUGUAAUUCCUCCAUCAGACUGUCAUCAGAUCCUCUUUUCAAUUCGGAAUCUUUAGAGUCAUGUCUUCGGCCCGGAACCUUCUCUCAGACGGAUAUCGGAUCCAACAGGAGGAUCUGACCCACAUGAGUCACCAUCACAGAGAUCAUUCAGCAGACACACAUCCAAGCCUUUUAAUUGGCGUCAGAACCAAACAUUUGAACGGAGCGCAGCCAAAGUCGACUGCUGACAUUAGAAGAACCAGAGACUUUAGAAGGAUAACAUGAUCAGACUUUAGAAGGAUAACAUGAUCAAAAGAACAUUUCGUAAAGUCAUUAAAGUGUUAUUUAAGGCCAUGUGUAGACCGAGUUCCUGCACAAGAAUUUCUGGAUUCUCCAUUUGAUUUGAACUGAAUGGACGGACUGAUGAAGAGACAUGAAGGUUUCUCCUCUCUGCAGAAAAAUGUACACAGACAAAAUGACAUGUUAUUUUCUCUGACAUUCACCAGCUCUGCCCCCAACUGCAAACAUGACACAGUUUCCUAAGGGUUGGAGGGAAACUACGAGCCUACACCACGGCAACCAUGAAGAACUAGAAGACAACGAUGUGUCUGAUCUGGGCAGAAAGAAACUUACUGAUGGGGCCUGAACAGAGGAGAUCCAUGAAGGAUGACCUUCUGACACAUUCAGGAGCUUCUAACGGAUCCUGAAAAGUGAAGAAAGAGAUGUUUCUGUGCUGUAAAAUGUAUUGAACAGUUUGUGUUUAUGUUUUUAAGUCCUCCUUCAGGCUGCCGUUCCUCUGACCUCCAGGUUCACGGCCGCCGGAGCUUUUUGUGCGUCCUGUUUGGUCUCUGCGCCGCUGCUUUCAAACAAACAUUCCUGAACUUUUAUAAAACUCAAUCACUGAGGAUGAGAGAGCAGAGCGUCUUUGAAAACAACGACCUCACCGUCUCUCGUUCGGCACGAAUAGCAGUGAGAGUCUGAUUCGGGCGGAUGAUGAAGAACAUCCUUCUCUGAUGGGAUGGAGGAGAAAACACUCAUCAGAUUAACUGCACUGACAGAUCACAUCUAAUCUGAGCAUGAGUGGGCCAACAGGGA